CAAAGGAGCAAUCCGCUGAGAGAUGGGCUCGCGUCCGAUUAGAUAGUUGGCGGGGUAACGGCCCACCAAGUCAACGAUCGGUAGCCGGACUGAGAGGUUGAACGGCCACAUUGGGACUGAGACACGGCCCAGACUCCUACGGGAGGCAGCAGUGGGGGAUAUUGCACAAUGGGGGGAACCCUGAUGCAGCGAUGCCGCGUGAGUGAAGACGGCCUUCGGGUUGUAAAGCUCUGUCGCAGAGGACGAAAAUGACGGUACCCUGCAAGAAAGCUCCGGCUAACUACGUGCCAGCAGCCGCGGUAAUACGUAGGGAGCAAGCGUUGUCCGGAAUUACUGGGUGUAAAGGGAGCGUAGGCGGGAGGAUAAGUUGAAUGUGAAAUCUAUGGGCUCAACCCAUAGCUGCGUUCAAAACUGUUCUUCUUGAGUGAAGUAGAGGCAGGCGGAAUUCCUAGUGUAGCGGUGAAAUGCGUAGAUAUUAGGAGGAACACCAGUGGCGAAGGCGGCCUGCUGGGCUUUUACUGACGCUGAGGCUCGAAAGCGUGGGUAGCAAACAGGAUUAGAUACCCUGGUAGUCCACGCGGUAAACGAUGAUUACUAGGUGUGGGUGGACUGACCCCAUCC
rnacentral:rRNA from 1 species